GAAUUCGCCCUUAGAGUUUGAUCCUGGCUCAGGACGAACGCUGGCGGCGUGCUUAACACAUGCAAGUCGAACGAGAAUCUACUGAAAGAGUUUUCGGACAAUGGAAGUAGAGGAAAGUGGCGGACGGGUGAGUAACGCGUGAGGAACCUGCCUUGAAGAGGGGGACAACAGUUGGAAACGACUGCUAAUACCGCAUGACGCAUAGGGGUCGCAUGAUCUUUAUGCCAAAGAUUUAUCGCUUCAAGAUGGCCUCGCGUCUGAUUAGCUGGUUGGCGGGGUAACGGCCCACCAAGGCGACGAUCAGUAGCCGGACUGAGAGGUUGAACGGCCACAUUGGGACUGAGAUACGGCCCAGACUCCUACGGGAGGCAGCAGUGGGGAAUAUUGGGCAAUGGGCGCAAGCCUGACCCAGCAACGCCGCGUGAAGGAAGAAGGCUUUCGGGUUGUAAACUUCUUUUAAGAGGGAAGAGCAGAAGACGGUACCUCUAGAAUAAGCCACGGCUAACUACGUGCCAGCAGCCGCGGUAAUACGUAGGUGGCAAGCGUUGUCCGGAUUUACUGGGUGUAAAGGGCGUGCAGCCGGGUCUGCAAGUCAGAUGUGAAAUCCAUGGGCUCAACCCAUGAACUGCAUUUGAAACUGUAGAUCUUGAGUGUCGGAGGGGCAAUCGGAAUUCCUAGUGUAGCGGUGAAAUGCGUAGAUAUUAGGAGGAACACCAGUGGCGAAGGCGGAUUGCUGGACGAUAACUGACGGUGAGGCGCGAAAGUGUGGGGAGCAAACAGGAUUAGAUACCCUGGUAGUCCACACUGUAAACGAU
rnacentral:rRNA from 1 species